UACGGAGGGUGCAAGCGUUAUCCGGAUUUACUGGGUUUAAAGGGUGCGUAGGUGGCGUGGUAAGUCGGGUGUGAAAUUUCGGAGCUUAACUCCGAAACUGCAUUCGAUACUGCCGUGCUUGAGGACUGGAGAGGAGACUGGAAUUUACGGUGUAGCAGUGAAAUGCGUAGAGAUCGUAAGGAAGACCAGUGGCGAAGGCGGGUCUCUGGACAGUUCCUGACACUGAGGCACGAAGGCCAGGGGAGCAAACGGG
rnacentral:rRNA from 1 species